GCGGGUAUAGUUUAGUGGUAAAACGAUGCGGGUUCGAUUCCCGCUACCCGCC
rnacentral:tRNA from 3 species